AUUGAACGCUGGCGGCAUGCUUUACACAUGCAAGUCGAACGGCAGCGCGGGCUUCGGCCUGGCGGCGAGUGGCGAACGGGUGAGUAAUGCAUCGGAACGUGCCCAGUAGUGGGGGAUAGCCCGGCGAAAGCCGGAUUAAUACCGCAUACGACCUGAGGGUGAAAGCGGGGGACCGAAAGGCCUCGCGCUAUUGGAGCGGCCGAUGUCGGAUUAGCUAGUUGGUGGGGCAAAGGCUUACCAAGGCGACGAUCCGUAGCUGGUCUGAGAGGACGACCAGCCACACUGGGACUGAGACACGGCCUAGACUCCUACGGGAGGCAGCAGUGGGGAAUUUUGGACAAUGGGGGCAACCCUGAUCCAGCCAUGCCGCGUGCGGGAAGAAGGCCUUCGGGUUGUAAACCGCUUUUGUUCGGGAAGAAAUCCUCUGGGCUAAUACCCCGGGGGGAUGACGGUACCGGAAGAAUAAGCACCGGCUAACUACGUG
rnacentral:rRNA from 1 species